UGCUGGACGUAUCAGAAGUGCGAAUGCUGACAUAAGUAACGAUAAAACGGGUGAAAAACCCGUUCGCCGGAAGACCAAGGGUUCCUGUCCAACGUUAAUCGGGGCAGGGUGAGUCGGCCCCUAAGGCGAGGCUGAAAAGCGUAGUCGAUGGGAAACGGGUUAAUAUUCCCGUACUUGGAUAAACUGCGAUGUGGGGACGGAGCAGGUUAGGUUAUCGCACUGUUGGAUAUGUGCGUUUAAGUU
rnacentral:rRNA from 2 species